AGCGAACGCUGGCGGUAGGCCUAACACAUGCAAGUCGAACGGCAGCACAGUAAGAGCUUGCUCUUACGGGUGGCGAGUGGCGGACGGGUGCGGAAUACAUCGGAAUCUACUUUUUCGUGGGGGCUAACGUAGGGAAACUUACGCUAAUACCGCAUACGACCUACGGGUGAAAGCAGGGGAUCUUCGGACCUUGCGCGAUUGUAUGAGCCGAUGUCGGCUUGGCUAGUUGGCGGGGUAGAGGCCCACCAAGGCGACGAUCCGUAGCUGGUCUGAGAGGAUGAUCAGCCAGACGGGAACAGAGAAACAGCACAGACACCGACAGUGAGAAGCAGUGGGGAAUAUUGGACAAUGGAGGAGUGCCGGAUACUGCACUACCGCGUGAGGGAUGAAGGCGUUCGGGUUGUAAAGCCCUUAAGGUGGGCAAGAAAUACAGCAGGUUAAUAACCGGCUGUUAUGACGGUACCUAAAGAAUAAGCACCGGCUAACUUCGUG
rnacentral:rRNA from 1 species